AUUGAACGCUGGCGGCAGGCCUAACACAUGCAAGUCGAACGCGUGGCGCACGUGUGAGUAAUGUCUGGGAAACUGCCUUAUGGAGGGGGAUACCUACUGGAAACGGUAGCUAAUCCCGCUUACCAGCGGCUUUGCCCAGAGGGGAUUAGCUAGUAGGUGGGGUAAAGGCUCACCUAGGCGACGAUCCCUAGCUGGUCUGAGAGGAUGACCAGCCACACUGGAACUGAGACACGGUCCAGACUCCUACGGGAGGCAGCAGUGGGGAAUAUUGCACAAUGGGCGCAAGCCUGAUGCAGCCAUGCCGCGUGUAUGAAGAAGGCCUUCGGGUUGUAAAGUACUUUCAGCAGAGAGGCGGUACCCGCAGAAGAAGCCACGGCUAACUCCGUGCCAGCCGCCGCGGUAAUUC
rnacentral:rRNA from 1 species